rnacentral:pre_miRNA from 1 species
CGGGGGGUGGGGGGUCCCUCAGCCCAGAUUGCGAGAGGGUGCAGGCCAGGCUGAGGGCCCCCACUGGUGCAUG